CAGAACUUUCAGAUGAAGAAUUCCCAGGAUUUUGGGUACAAUGUCGAUCGUUUGCAGCAUGUUUGGAUAUGGAUCAUGUGACAAAUAUUAAGUAAGCAGUAAGGCGGGUGCGUGUGGUGGAAUCUCUGCAGGCAAGGCAGGGAAUGGCUUUUAGGCCUCUGUCUCCAAGCUCUAUGACUGCAGUAAAACUGUAUGCCAGCUCCGGCUGAUAGCGAAAAUGUUUCCAUUGUGAGUUUGUGCGUAAGAACAACAGUAGCAAGAUAAAAUGUGCAUUGAGUUGACUAAUCAAGCUUAAAAACAUGAUAAAACAAAUUCAAUUAAAACUAGAGAAGGGCAUGCGUGCAAGUAAAACUUAGCUGGCUUCUUAACAUUUCCCCAGCAGUCUGGCACGUUCAAAGAAACUGACACUUUCUAGUUCCCAAGCAACACUUUUGUCUCUAAUUUCCCCUUCAAAAUCUGAGAAACAGUCACUGCUCCUACUCCAGCUUGCACUUAGUUUGUGCGUGCAAGAGCCCUACAAUAUGCAUGUCCAAUUUGUCAAUAGAUACAUUUAUUUUAUAUUUUAUUUAUUUAUAGUACGCCUUUUUUGCUGUGAUCCGAGGUGGAUUACAACAGUGCAAGUGACGGUACAAUAUAAUUUACAGCUGGGACACUCAUUAAGCAAAGUAUGAUAGUGAAGAACAGCUAGGCCAUUCAGGGAAACAGAUACAGUAGGGUAUGGUAGCAGAAAUUUUUUUAAGCAAGCAUAAGCCAAGCACUGAGAUGGAAACUAUCUGAAACAAAGCAUAACUAACUUCAUGGCAUGUUUAGCAGUGUGGAAACUUGCCAGUAGGAGCAUAACUAGGUCAGCAGAUACUACCCAAUAGCGAAGCAUUCAGUCCUCAUCUCUACCAAGGCAUCUCUCUGAGCUAUUUCUUAUGACAUAGUUCUUUAAUCUGGUUAGAAAGCCCUCUUGGAUAAUUCAGUUUUGCAUAGUUUGUGGAAAGCCAGGAGAGUGGGAGCUUUCCGGACCUCCUCAGGCAGGCCAUUCCGUAAGGUGGGGGCUGCCACAGAGCAAGCAGAUGUGCGGGCAGCUAUUGAUUUUGCCCAACUGCAGGGCAGUAUCUUCAGAAGAUUCUGUUCAGAUGAGCAACGCUGCUGUGGUGGGACAUAAGGAGAGAGGCGGUUGCACAGAUAUGAGGGGCCAAGCCCAUGAAGGGCUUUGAAUGAGAUAGUCAUGACUAGACAUGGGCACGAACCGCAUUACGAACGCAAAAAACCCACGAACCGCCUGGUCAUCUGUUUGCGAUCCGGCAGUUCGUGAGCAUCCAAGUCCAAUGAACCAGCAUUCGUAAGAAGCCUGGUUCGUUGCGUAUGUCAGCGGUUCAUGAAGCCAGACAGUCAGGUAUUAUCAAUCAAUUCCCUUGGAAACGGAGCCGGGGGAAUGCCUGAACUCUGUCUGCACUCUUUCUGUCACCCUGGAAACCUGAAUGGAAGCCCAGCUUACCUUGAUCGGCAGGUCUUCCUUCCAAUCAUGGAGCUGCAAAGUGGUUACAACUUGGGAGAAGACACCCGGGGGAGGGAGGGGGGAGGGGGUGUUCUGUAGCCAUGGGCACUCCAAUCUCAUCCCUGCAAACCCUGAUAGGCAGCUCUGAUGGCCAACCACAGACCUGUGUUGGUUUAUCAAGUGGGAGUUUCCUGGGAGCCUCUGAUUGGAGAGGGUAUAAUUCCAAGAUCCCUAUUGCAAUCUUGACCAAACUUGGGUGCUGACUGGAGGAGAGCCUGCUAGACACUCCCCAUGAAUAUGGGCUCUCUAAAUCCAACGGGGGCCGUUCUGAGCCCCACGAACCUCAAACCGGUUCAUCAGUGGGAAAAGUUCAUUGUGGUUCAUUAGUUCGGGUUUGUCGGCGGCACCGAACCACGAACCGCAGGUUCGUUAAUUUUUUUGGGUUUGUGCCCAUGUCUAGUCGUGACCUUGAACUGUGUCCGAUAACUGAUGAGAAGCCAAUGGAGUGACUGCAGAAUGGGAGUGAUAUGCAUGUUCCAUCUAGCUCCUGAGAGUAAAUAGGGUGCAGCAUUCUGCACUAACUGAAGUUUUUGUGUUGGCUUAGAGGAGAGACCAACGUAGAGUGCAUUAAAGAAGUCUAGUGUUGAUGUUGCUGUGCCCAUGGAUCCAGGUGGCCAAAUCGGCCAUGUCAAGGAGGAGACAUCAUGCUGCUUCUCUGCAGGGAAGAGAGGAAGGAAGAAGAAGGAAAGAAGUUCCCUUGGACUACAUUCCACCAAUAAGAGAAAAUUCUUCAAGUACGGCGCACAGAACGUUUCCUAUAACAAACAAUUCCAAGUUUCAGACGUGAGCGCCAUCUAUCUGCGAUAUUGAGAGCAUGGAUGACUGUGCCGAGGGUGGGAAGUGGAAGAAAAUGGAGACAGAAACUCUACAUUGCCAACUUGAUGAUCGAGACCGCGUACACUCGCCACUGAAAACAGAUGAUCUGAACGCAUGGCCAGACAAGGACACGUACUCAUCUAGGCACGGGAACUUGGGGUGAGGCACGAAUAUAGACACUCGCUUGGUCUUGUGUAUUUAGUAACGUGUGGUCCGGCUCCUAGAAGCUAUGACUGACCCAAGGUCACCCAGCUGGUUUUAAGCAGAGGAGUGGGGAAUCAAACCUGGCUCUCUGCAGUCUUAACCACUACACCAAACUGUGCCAAAUUCUGUGUUUAAUUAUAGCAAAUGUAUGAAGAGGAGAAAUCUCAGUUAUUUAAAAGCUAGUAUGAUGUCAUUUAUGACAUAUCAUUCUGUUUUGUUUUCUUAUACUGUAUCAGUAGAAACCAGGAUGAUUUUUAACCCCCCCCCCCCGCCUCCCUAAGCUUUGGCUAGAGAUAAUAUGGCUCCCAUCAAGUGCUUGCUACUGCACAUUUCCAUUCCAUGUGCAAAUUGGAAAACAAUGUUUUUAGUCUUAGGCAUCCAUAAUGUGAGAAAAUGCUCUCUGAUGAUGAAGGGAAUGUGCAUUAACUCCCAUGAUGUGUAGUUUCUCUUGAAGGAAGAGUCAAAACAUCUUUCUUCAAGCUGCAUUCUGUUCAAGAAGGCAAGGCUUGAUGGAUUCUGCAUUGGCUCACUUUUAAAUUGAUCUCACUUAAUGCCACUAUGUCUAAGGCUUGCAGGAUUUAUCAGCACACCACAUAGUUAAGCUACUCAACUUCCAUGAACUCCCACGAGAUUUCUAGCAACCUGUGUGCAGGAUUGCAACGUAACUUAAUAAAUAUGUCUCAUUGGUGCUUUGAAACAAGUCUGUACUUGUUUUUUUUUGUGUGUGGAAAAAACCAAAGAUAUAAGAUAAUGCAAGAUACUAAGGAAAGAGGGGGGUUGAUUUUACCCGAUUUGAAAUUGUACUUCGUUGCCGGAUGCUUUCUGUGGGUGAAGGAAUGGAUCCUGUUCAGAAACAGAAGGCAUGAUUUGAGAUUUGGAUGGCAUGGUGAUUUGUGGUAUGAUAAAAUUAAGGUAAAUGCAGAAUUUAAUAUCCACUUUGUUAGACGUGCCAUUUUUAGAAUAUGGAAUAAAUAUGAACUUAGGAUCUGCCCAAAAAUACCUUUAUAGCUAUUGCUGCAAGAUGCUCAUUUCAAAAGGGAAAUGUUAAGUUCGUAUAAAUGGUUAUGGUGAUUUGUUAGAAUUCUCACAUGGUGAAUAUAAAAUAAAAUCAAGAGAAGAUUUGCUAAUAGAGGGACAUAUUUGCCAAUGGUUUUCUUAUUUACAAAUGCCAGAAAGGCUUAAAAUAGACAAGAGACAUUAUUAUUUUGAGCAAUCUAAGACUGAAUUUGAGAUAGAAUUAUGUACAAAUGAUUAACAUAUUAUUGCCAAAAUGUAUAAACUCUUGCCGAAAUUUGAGACAGCAGAAGAGCAAGCGAAAGAAUGUAUGAUUAAAUGGGCUAAAAACUUUGGAUUUUAUAUAUUAACUAGCAACAAAUCCCGUUGUGGGAAAAUAUACAACAGGCUCUAGAAAGGGGAGGGUGGACAGGCAGGCAUUCACUCCUCCUCCGUCACUGAUUCCAGCUGGUGAAGAAGGGGGUGGGUGGGCUUUGUCAUCUGCUCCAUGCCUGAUGUGCCUGAUCUCGGCCAUGUGAAGGGGUGCUGGGCUUUGCUACCUGAUCCAUGCCAGGUAAAGGGGGGCAUUGCCAACUGUUCUGUGCCUGACUGUGGCUGGGUGAAGGGGGGCAGGCAUUGCUGCUUGCUGCAAGCCUGAUCCAAGCUGAAUGAAGGGGGUGGGCAUUGCCACCUGCUCCCCACUGGGUGAAGGGAGGAACAGGCAUUGCCUCCUGCCCUGUGCCUGAUCCUGACAGGUGAAGGUGGGCGGUGGGCUUUACUAAAUGCUCUGCUCCUGAUCCCAGCUGGGUGAAGGGGGUACAGGUAUUGCCACCUGCUCUGGUACUGAUUCUGGCAGGUUGAAGUGGGGGCAGGCAUUGCUGCAUACUUGGCGCCUGACUCUGGCAGGGUGAAGACAGGGUGGGCAUUGCCACCUGCUCAGUGGCUUAUUCCAGUAGGUUGAAGAGGGUGGGCAUUGCCACCUGCUUUGCUCCUUAUCCCGGCUGGGUGAAGGGAAGAAGGGCAUUGCCUCCUGCUGUUUGCCUAAUCCCAGCCAGGUGAAGGCGCGAGGUGGGCAUUGCCACCUGCUUCACUCCUGAUCCCAAAUGUGUGAUGGUGGGGAGUGGGCAUUGCCACCUGCUCCACCACUAAUACCAGCUGAGUUAAGGCAGGGGAGGGCAUUGCCACCUGCUCCACUCUUAAUACCAGCUGGGUUAAGGUGUGGGAUGGUCAUUGCCAUCUACUCCUCUCCUAAUACCAGCUGGGUUAAGGCAGGGGACAGGCAUUGCCACAUGCUCCACUCCUGAUCCCAGCUGGCUAAGGGGGUGGGUGGGCAUUGCCACCUUCUCAGCUCCUAAUACCAGCUGAGUUAAGGAAAUUGCCAUCUGUUCCACUCAUAAUACCAGCUGUGUUAAGGUGGGGGUGUGCAUUGCCAACUGCUCUGAUCCUGAUCCCAACUGGUUCAAAGGGGGCAGGCGGGCAUUGCCACCUGCUCUGCUGCUGAUACCAACUGGGUUAAGGUGCGGGUGGGCAUUGCCACCUGCUUUGCUCCUAAUACUAGCUUGGUGAAAGCAGGGGUUGGGCAUUGCCACCUGCUCCACUCCUAAUAUCAGCUGGGUUAAGUUGGGUGGUGGGCAUUGCCACCUGACUUACUCCUAAUACCAGCUGGGUGAAAGUGGGAGGCAGGACUUUGCCACCUGCUCCCAGCCUGGGCUUCCCUCCAUGGCACAUUUUCUGGAUGGACAUAGUGCUUUGCCUAGGCUUCCCUCCAUGGCAGCACCCUCUGGUGGUGCACCAGGGUAUAAAGUGAGUUGUCUGAAAUAUGCUUACUCAAUUAUAUAGUAAGAUGGAACCAUGGGAAAACGUGGCUAAAAGGGCUGAAAUUUACAUUGAGUUUUAGUCUAAAAGAUAAUUUUUAUAAGACGAUGUAUCAUUGGUAUGUGACGCCUGAAAAACUGGCCAGAAGAUAUUUUGAACCGUUGUUGGAAAUGUGAACAACUUGAAGGAAUAUUUUACCACUAGCAACAAAGCCUGUUGUGGGAAAAAAUACAGUGGGCUCUAGAAAGGGGAGGGCAGGCAGGCAGGUAUUCCCUCCUCCUCUGUAAUGGAUCCCAGCUCGAUAAAGACAGGGGGGUGGGUGGGCAUGGCCAUCUCCUCUGCACCUGAUCCCAGCCAAGUGAAGAGGGGCAGACAUUGCCACCUACUCUGUGCCUGAUUCCAGCUAGGUGAAUGAGGGGUGGGCCUCCUGCUCAACCCCUGAUCUCACCUUGUUGAAGGGGCGGGCCUUGCCGCCUGCUCCAUGCCUGCUCCCGGCUGAGUGAAGCAGGGGUGAGCAUUGACACUUGCUCCGCUCCUGAUCCUGACUGGAUGAAGAAGGGAGGGCAUUGCCUCCUACUCUGUGCCCGAUUCCAGCUCGGUGAAGUGGAGGGGGAGCAUUGUGGCCUGCUCUGCGUGUGAUUCUGGAAGGUUGAGCGGGGGUGGGUGGGCAUUGCCUCCUGCUCUGCGCCUGAUCAAGGCUGGGUGAAGGGGGGCAGGCAUUGCCUCAUGCGCUGCUCCUGAUCCUGGUUGGCAGGCAUUGUCACCUUCUCCUUGCCCGAUCCUGGCCUGGUGAAGGGGUGGGCAUUGCCACCUGCUCCAAUCCUGAUCCCUGCUGCAUUAAGGGGGCAGGCAUUGUCACCUUCUUGCCUGAUCCUGGCCGGGUGAAGGGGGGCGGCAUUGCCACCUUCUCCCCUUCUGAUCCCAGCUGGGUGAAGGACAGGUGGGCAUUGCCACCUGUUCUGCUCCUGAUUCCAGCUGGGUGAAGGCAGGGGACGUGCAUUGCCACCUGCUUUGCUCCUCAUCCCAGCUGGGUGAAGGCAGGGGACGUGCUUUGCCACGUGCUCUGCUGAUCCCACCUGGGUGAAGGCAGGGGGUGGGAACUGCCACCUGCCCUACUCCUGAUCACAGCUGAGUGAAGGGGGAUGGGCAUUGCUACCUGCUUUGCUCCUGAUCCCAGCUGGGAGAGGGCAGAGUUUGGGCAUUGCCACUUGCUCCACUCCUGAUCCAAGCUGGGUGAUGGUGGGAGGUGGGCAUUGCCCCCUCUCUGCUCCUGAUCCCAGCUAGGUGAAGAUGGGAAGCAGACAAUGCCACCUGGUCUACUCCUGCUCCCAGGUGCAUGAAGGGGGGGAUGGGUAUUGCCAGCUGCUCUGCUCCUGAUUCCAGCUGGGUGAAGGCAGGGGAUGGGCAUUGCCACCUGCUUCAUUCCUGAUCCCAGCGUGGUGAAGGCGGGAGGCGGGCAUUGCUGCCUGCUCCAUGCAUGAUCCCAGCCUGGGCUGUCUGCCGUGGUGCGCUCUCUGGAGGUCUGGCUGCCUCAUCUGGGCUUCCCUCCACAGCAGCGCCCCUUGGUGGCACACCGGGGUAGGAAGUGAGUUGUCUUGAAUAUGCUUAGCCUUUUAUAUGGUGGUCAUGUAAGAAAGCAAAAACAUUUUGGACAGAAAUACAAAUAAUAAUUCAUUUUUUAAAAAAGAUUAGUAUAUAACUGAAGCCAGAGUCUUGUCUUUUGGGACCGAUGGAUACUCAGCUGAAAUGAAACCAUGGAACUUUGUUUUUAUA